AGAGACGUUGCCCUUCGGGGUAUACCUCCCACCCUUUGUUUAUUAUACCUUUGUUGCUUUGGCGGGUCCCGUCCUCGGACCACCGGCUUCUGCUGGUCAGUGCCCGCCAGAGGACCUAAAACUCUGUUUGUUAAUAUUGUCUGAGUACUAUAUAAUAGUUA
rnacentral:misc_RNA from 1 species